UGGUUCAGAACGAACGCUGGCGGCGUGCUUAACACAUGCAAGUCGAACGCGAAAGGGACUUCGGUCCCGAGUAGAGUGGCGCACGGGUGAGUAACGCGUAAGUAAUCUACCCCUGUAUCUGGAAUAACCCACCGAAAGGUGAGCUAAUACCGGAUACGUUUAUCUUGAUGCGAAUGAUGAUAAAGAAAGGUGGCCUCUUCAUGAAAGCUACCGUACAGGGACGAGCUUGCGUACCAUUAGCUGGUUGGUAGGGUAAUGGCCUACCAAGGCGACGAUGGUUAGCGGGUCUGAGAGGAUGAUCCGCCACACUGGAACUGAAACACGGACCAGACUCCUACGGGAGGCAGCAGUGAGGAAUAUUGCGCAAUGGGGGCAACCCUGACGCAGCGACGCCGCGUGGACGAUGAAGGCCCUUGGGUCGUAAAAUCCUGUCAGAUGGAAAGAAAUGUACAGGUGUCAAUAUCGCCUGUAUUUGACGGUACCAUCA
rnacentral:rRNA from 1 species